rnacentral:rRNA from 1 species
GACAGAGGAGGCAAGCGUUGUCCGGACUUACUGGGCGUAAAGCGCACGCAGGUGGUGCGGUUUGUGGGGUGUGAAAUCGGACGGCUUAACCGUCCGGCGCCAUCCCAAACGGCCGCACUUGAGCUAUGCAGAGGCCGGUGGAAUUGCCGGUGUAGCGGUGAAAUGCGUAGAGAUCGGCAGGAACACCUAUGGGGAAACCAGCCGGCUGGGCAUAGGCUGACACUCAGGUGCGAAAGCGUGGGGAGCAAACGGG